rnacentral:rRNA from 1 species
CUACGUGCCAGCAGCCGCGGUAAUACGUAGGUGGCAAGCGUUGUCCGGAAUUAUUGGGCGUAAAGCGCGCGCAGGCGGAUCUGCCAGUCUGUCUUAAAAGUUCGGGGCUCAACCCCGUGAUGGGAUGGAAACUACAGAUCUAGAGUAUCGGAGGGGAAAGUGGAAUUCCUAGUGUAGCGGUGAAAUGCGUAGAUAUUAGGAGGAACACCAGUGGCGAAGGCGACUUUCUGGACGAUCACUGACGCUGAGGCGCGAAAGCCAGGGGAGCGAACGGGAUUAGAUACCCCGGUAGUCCUGGCCGUAAACGAUGGGUACUAGGUGUAGGAGGUAUCGAACCCUUCUGUGCCGGAGUUAACGCAAUAAGUACCCCGCCUGGGGAGUACGACCGCAAGGUUGAAACUCAAAGGAAUUGACGGGGGCCCGCACAAGCGGUGGAGUAUGUGGUUUAAUUCGACGCAACGCGAAGAACCUUACCAG